rnacentral:lncRNA from 1 species
UGUCCCAUUUCGAGUAAUCAAGCCCUGAAUGGCCCUUUGGUUUUUGGAUGGUCCCCCAACACUCAGGUUUUGAAGGCAAACUGGGAGACACUUGAACCUUCCGAGCUUCUGUUAAAGGUUCCUUGUACAGACUGGGAGACACUUGAACCUUCGGAGCUUCCGUUAAAGGUUCCUUGUAAUCAAGCUCUGAAUGGCCCUUUGGUUUUUGUAUGGUACCCUCAGGUUUUGAAUGUAGAUUGGGAAGGACUUCAACCUUCAGAGCUUUUGUUACAGGUUUAUUUUCAGG